rnacentral:rRNA from 1 species
UACGUAGGGUGCGAGCGUUAAUCGGAAUUACUGGGCGUAAAGCGUGCGCAGGCGGUUUUGUAAGCCAGAUGUGAAAUCCCCGGGCUUAACCUGGGAAUGGCAUUUGGGACUGCAAGGCUUGAGUGCGGCAGAGGAGACUGGAAUUCCGUGGUGUAGCAGUGAAAUGCGUAGAUAUCAGGAGGAAUACCGAUGGCGAAGGCGGCAUCCUGGACCGGCAUUGACGCUGAGGCGCGAAAGCCAGGGGAGCAAACGGG